CAGCCGUAAACUAUGCUCGCUAGGUGUCAGGCAUGGCGCGACCGUGUCUGGUGCCGCAGGGAAGCCGUGAAGCGAGCCACCUGGGAAGUACGGCCGCAAGGCUGAACUUAAAGGAUUGGCGGGGGAGCACAACAACGGGUGGAGCCUGCGGUUUAAUUGGACUCAACGCCGGACAACUCACCGGGAACGACAGCAAUAUGUAGGCCAGGCUGAAGACCUUGCCUGAAUCGCUGAGAGGAGGUGCAUGGCGUAGACGUCU
rnacentral:rRNA from 1 species